rnacentral:lncRNA from 1 species
AAGAACUGAGAUGCUUCGCUGUGGAUUCGCGGACCCUCACCUCAGCCCUGGAACUGCCUUUGGCCAGUGAAACUCGAGAGGAGCCCCGUCCCGAGAAGCUCCAAGGAGAAGGAGGAGAGGGAAAUCCCCGCCUUGGGGAUCCAGGCUGCGGAAGUCACCUUCACCAGGCUUUGCUCUGGAGCUGUGAGGGGUCGCGGCCCGGGUAGCCCUAUUUCCCCAGCUCCCCGAUAGACAGAGAGGAUGAAAGAAGUCAUCUCACAUGAUGGGACUUUUCCCUGAGCCCCCUGGCUGACUGACUGCUCUGACUGAUCAAUCUCUGCCGCUGAGAUGUGCCGGUCCUGUGACCCCCAUCCUUCCAGUGCUUCACUUCUCUGGACUCUGAAGGCUCUCUGGCCACGGUGUUGAUGGGGACGUGUGGCUGGCAGUUUCUGGUUUUGCUUUCCCUCCCUCUCCUUUUUCUAAUAGCAGUCUGAAUAGCCAGUGCCUCUCACAGGAAGCUUUGGGGUUUGGCUCAGUCCACACUGUUCGUUUGAACACUUCAAUAUUUAACUUGCAGAAUGGUUAAUGAGUUAUGGGGACAAUCAGAAUCAGACUGUGAUCAUGGCGAUGGAAGACAACAAGGCCUUGAUCAUCCAGCCAAUUGUUGGACAGAAGCUGGAAAAGUUUUCUCCCCAAGACUUCUGGCAAUAAAGAUGGGAUGGUUGGGACUCUCCACUCUCAGGGGACUGCUGCUGAGAUCCCAGGACCUUUGACCAUGCCAGCGAAGAACCAGACCAAAGGAGGAGUGAGAACAGAGUUUGGCGCAUGCGUUUUGGAGACUCGUGUGUAUCCUGGUGCCGUUUCCGGCUCUGUCCGUACUUGGUGAGGCCCUGGAGAACUGCUCCUCCCCGUCAGCGGGCACAGAAGGGGCAUUAUGUUGAAGACUAAGAAAGAUAAUGCAUAGAAAGUGCAUGACACACAGGUUCUCUAUAGACCCUCCUCCUCUUCUUUUUAUUUAUUUUUGUAGUUUAUAUUACAAUUUAUGUUAUUUAUAUCUAUUACAUUAACUAUACAAUAGUGUUAUUUUUGCACAAUUGUGUAACAUAUUAUUUCUUCCCAGGUGGUGCAGUGGUAAAGAGUUCACCUGCCAACAUAGGAGCUGCAGGAAACACAGGUUCAAUCCCUGGGCUGGGAAAAUCCUCUGGAGGAGGGAAUGGCAACCCACUCCAGUAUUCUUGCCUGGAGAAUCCCAUGGACAGAGGAGCCUGGCAAGCUACAGUCCAUGGGGUUGCAAAAAUUUGGACAUGACUGAGAGGCUGA